AAACUUUCAACAACGGAUCUCUUGGUUCCCACAUCGAUGAAGAACGCAGCGAAAUGCGAUAAGUAAUGUGAAUUGCAGAAUUCCGUGAAUCAUCGAAUCUUUGAACGCACAUUGCGCCCCCUGGUAUUCCGGGGGGCAUGCCUGUUCGAGCGUCAU
rnacentral:rRNA from 1 species